GCCCAGGUGGCGGAAUAGGUAGACGCGCACGUUUCAGGUGCGUGUGCCUCAAGGCGUGCAGGUUCGAUUCCUGUCCUGGGCACCA
rnacentral:tRNA from 1 species